AGAGCACAUUGUCAAGAUACAUGAUAUGUUUGUUAUACUUUGUCCAAAGCAAUGUUAAACUAAUUUUAACAUGAAACUACCCCUCCACCCUUAAUCAUGUUGAACUUAUCUGCCUGCUAAGGGAUCAAAAGUCAUAUUUAUCCAUCCAUUGUGUUUGUCCAAAAAGGGGGGAAAAUCCUCGUUGUAUGUUGGCAAGACCCUUCCUGAUAUUAAUUUGGAUGGUAAUAUGUGAUUCAAAUCAGAGGAUUUGAUCAAUAAAUUAACUGAAAAGGC
rnacentral:lncRNA from 1 species